rnacentral:rRNA from 1 species
AGUGGCGGACGGGUGAGUAACGCGUAGGAAUCUACCUGAUAGUGGGGGAUAGCCCGAAGAAAUUCGGAUUAAUACCGCAUAAUCUAUUCGUAGUAAAGUGGGGGACUUUCGAGCCUCACGCUAUCAGAUGAGCCUGCGUAAGAUUAGCUAGUUGGUAGGGUAAAAGCCUACCAAGGCUACGAUCUUUAGCUGGUCUGAGAGGAUGAUCAGCCACAUCGGGACUGAGACACGGCCCGAACUCCUACGGGAGGCAGCAGUGGGGAAUAUUGGACAAUGGGGGCAACCCUGAUCCAGCAAUACCGCGUGUGUGAAGAAGGCCUGAGGGUUGUAAAGCACUUUCAAUUGUGAAGAAAAGCUAGUGGUUAAUAGCCAUUAGCCUUGACGUUAACUUUAGAAGAAGCACCGGCUAACUCCGUGCCAGCAGCCGCGGUAAUACGGAGGGUGCAAGCGUUAAUCGGAAUUACUGGGCGUAAAGCGUGCGUAGGCGGUUUAUUAAGUCAGAUGUGAAAGCCCCGGGCUUAACCUGGGAACUGCAUUUGAAACUGGUCAACUAGAGUAUGGUAGAGGAAAGUGGAAUUUCUGGUGUAGCGGUGAAAUGCGUAGAUAUCAGAAGGAACAUCAAUGGCGACGCACUUUCUGAACAUUACUGACGCUGAGUACGAAAGCGUGGGUAGCAAACAGGAUUAGAUAC